UACACUCCUGCGGGAGGCAGCAGUGGGGAAUUUUGGCCAAUGGGCGAAAGCCUGAUCCAGCAAUGCCGCGUGAGUGAAGAAGGCCUUCGGGUUGUAAAGCUCUUUUGUCAGGGAAGAAACGGUGAAAGCUAAUAUCUUUUGCUAAUGACGGUACCUGAAGAAUAAGCACCGGCUAACUACGUGCCAGCAGCCGCGGUAAUACGUAGGGUGCAAGCGUUAAUCGGAAUUACUGGGCGUAAAGCGUGCGCAGGCGGUUUUGUAAGUCUGAUGUGAAAUCCCCGGGCUCAACCUGGGAAUUGCAUUGGAGACUGCAAGGCUAGAAUCUGGCAGAGGGGGGUAGAAUUCCACGUGUAGCAGUGAAAUGCGUAGAUAUGUGGAGGAACACCGAUGGCGAAGGCAGCCCCCUGGGUCAAGAUUGACGCUCAUGCACGAAAGCGUGGGGAGCAAACAGGAUUAGAUACCCGAGUAGUCCCA
rnacentral:rRNA from 1 species